rnacentral:rRNA from 2 species
UGCAAGUCGAGCGGACAGAUGGGAGCUUGCUCCCUGAUGUUAGCGGCGGACGGGUGAGUAACACGUGGGUAACCUGCCUGUAAGACUGGGAUAACUCCGGGAAACCGGGGCUAAUACCGGAUGCUUGUUUGAACCGCAGGGUUCAAACAUAAAAGGUGGCUUCGGCUACCACUUACAGAUGGACCCGCGGCGCAUUAGCUAGUUGGUGAGGUAACGGCUCACCAAGGCAACGAUGCGUAGCCGACCUGAGAGGGUGAUCGGCCACACUGGGACUGAGACACGGCCCAGACUCCUACGGGAGGCAGCAGUAGGGAAUCUUCCGCAAUGGACGAAAGUCUGACGGAGCAACGCCGCGUGAGUGAUGAAGGUUUUCGGAUCGUAAAGCUCUGUUGUUAGGGAAGAACAAGUACCGUUCGAAUAGGGCGGUACCUUGACGGUACCUAACCAGAAAGCCACGGCUAACUACGUGCCAGCAGCCGCGGUAAUACGUAGGUGGCAAGCGUUGUCCGGAAUUAUUGGGCGUAAAGGGCUCGCAGGCGGUUCCUUAAGUCUGAUGUGAAAGCCCCCGGCUCAACCGGGGAGGGUCAUUGGAAACUGGGGAACUUGAGUGCAGAAGAGGAGAGUGGAAUUCCACGUGUAGCGGUGAAAUGCGUAGAGAUGUGGAGGAACACCAGUGGCGAAGGCGACUCUCUGGUCUGUAACUGACGCUGAGGAGCGAAAGCGUGGGGAGCGAACAGGAUUAGAUACCCUGGUAGUCCACGCCGUAAACGAUGAGUGCUAAGUGUUAGGGGGUUUCCGCCCCUUA